UACGUAGGGACCAAGCGUUGUUCGGAUUUACUGGGCGUAAAGGGCGCGUAGGCGGCGCGGUAAGUCACUUGUGAAAUCUCUGAGCUUAACUCAGAACGGCCAAGUGAUACUGCCGGGCUAGAGUCCGGAAGAGGCGAGUGGAAUUCCUGGUGUAGCGGUGAAAUGCGCAGAUAUCAGGAGGAACACCAAUGGCGAAGGCAGCUCGCUGGGACGGUACUGACGCUGAGGCGCGAAAGCGUGGGGAGCAAACAGG
rnacentral:rRNA from 1 species